GGUGGUGCCUGAGAAGCAGAAUGUUCCCUCCACCUCCGAAGCUGAAAAUUAAUGAACUUCCACAUCAUGAAUGCUUGGAUAGUAGCUGAAGCUGUGUGGAUACAGAAUUCAUCUACAGAGACGACAACAUUUGUUCAAAAACAACUCCAGCCAGAAAAAUCCAUGAAGAGGAGGCACACACACAAGAGGCAGAAGGCAGGCCAGAGUUAUGAUUGGAUAGUUAACAAUGCAAAAAGGGAGCUGGAAAACCAAGAUACAAGAGGAACUGAAGCAGGGAAAGCAUUGGUAAGUCAAGUCUGCAAGACUAAAGGCAAAAUAACGAGGCGGCUAACAUACUGGAUGAAAGCAAAGGGACUCAAAGUACCAUAAAGGCUUCUAAGUGGACAGCUGGUAGAUGGGCAGCAGAAUAAGGGAAGGGAGCCACAGUAGCCUGUGGCUGAGCUCUGCUAUAUAGGAUUUCAGGAUCUGUAAAGGCAUGCUCAAUUCAGCAUAUGGCCAUUCAAAUGGAUCCUUUACCUGGGCUAGUUGUAGAAAGAUCACUUGAAAAGAAAAGCUUAGUACUUCCUGAUUACAAUUUAUUCAUCAUUAGAGCAGAAUGAAGACAAAAAUUUCCAGGGUAACAUUGCUUUUGUGUCAUUAUUAUAAAGCUGGUCAAUUACUAAGUUUCCCUUUUAAUACCUAGUUCACAAUUCACAUAUGUGAAUUGUGAACAUACACGCGUCACAUCUCCCAGUUCCAGUUUGAAAGAAGCGGUUGCCACUACUCCAUUUAAGAAGUAGUUUAUGUGUCCUUUACCAACAGUAGGGAUAAUACUCAGAGAUAAAUUUAGUAUCAAGUUCCAAAAGCAACAAAACUUAUUAUUUUAUGCAAACUUCUAGGUAAAAUUACAACCCAGUCUUAAGAUAGAUCGGUAGCACUGCACUGUAGCAUUGUCCUCCCGUUGUUCAUCGAUUUGCUCGAGUAGGCCCAGUAACAUUGUGAGACUUGUUACUGUGUUUGGCAUAUCGAAUACGUCACAGGUAGCUUGCCAGGCUUUCCCGUGAGGGCGAGAUACUCUCGGUAUCUUGCCCAGCUCUCCGAGAGGGCAGAGGAAUAGAUCUCGGGUCAGCUGUGUUGGCCGCACGCAAGGCAAACGCCCUACCCGCUGUGCUAUCGCUCCAGCCCCAUUUAGCAUUGCUUUAGUUAAUAUUAUAAUUAGUAAUAGAAUUUAUUUGGAAUGAGAUAUGCUGUAGAAAUAGACAAUGUACUCAAAAGUAAAAACAACUAAGUUUAUGACAGUUUUGGACAUUUAUGACACUACUCUGCUUUUACAAAAAAAAAAUCCUCAGAAAUAUCUUAAAACACAAACUAAUGAUCUAAUUCUGUACUGGUCAUGAAUAUCACAAUACUUCUCUUUAACUAAAUGGUCAUCAAUUGGGUCUUCACAGUUUUUCUUAUUUUACAGAGAUUUUUAAGUCCUUUGCAUUUGUUAGAGGAAGGUAUGACUACCACACUGACAGAAGCCUACCCCACUAGCUUAUAUAAAGCUCUUAAAAAAAAAGUUAUGAGAGAGAGAGAGAGAGAGUGAGAGAGAGAGUGUGAGUGUGUGUGUGUGUGUGUGUGUGUGUGUGUGGGGGAGGGGCAGGGAGUAUUAGUAUUAUGCAUACUCAUCACUACAAUGGAUUAGAAUUAAGAAACAAGCAGCAAUGAAACUCUCAGGUCUAUGGACAGCUCAUGAAAUGACAAAGGACAUGAAAUGGAGUCAAGAUAGGGUUCUCACAAAUAGUGCCGGGAAAUUGGCUAACCACAUGCAAAAGAGAGGGGGCAGAGGUCGGCAGGCAGGACAGUGGGCAUGGAACUUGCCUUACAUGUGUCUGACCCCUGGCACCCCACAAUAAACAAGUGGGACUACAUCAAAUUCAAAAGUUUUUGUAUGGCAAAAGCAACUCAGGCUGAAAUUAAAAGGCAUCCUACUGAAAUGGAGACAAUAUCUGCACACGAUGUAUCAGCUGAGAUGCUAAUAUUCAAGAUACAAAAAGCACUCACAAAAGUCAACUAUUAAAAAAAAAAUCCAAAAACCCCAUCAAAACCGAGGAGAGGAAAUGAAAAGACACUCCACUGAAGACACAGAGAUGGCCAGUACACAUAUGAAAAAGUGCUCAUCAUACUUAUCAAGGAAAUCCAAACCAAUACAACAAUGAAAUACGAUCUUAUGCUAGUGAAAAUGGCAAAUAUCAAAAAAACUAGAAGCAUUCUGUGUUUGUGAGGAUAUGGUCAAAAAGGAAUUCUUAUUCAUGGUUGGUGUGAAAGCAGUCUGGUUUAGCUCCUAUGACACAGUAUGGAGAUUUCUCAAAAAAGAACAGAGUUUCCAUUCAACUGAGCGGUUCAACUUCAUGGUAUCUACCCUUACGAACAUUCACUUGAAAAAGACAUAUGCAAACCUUCAUUAAUUGUAGCAUUUAGAACAAUCGCUAGGAUAUAAAAUCAACUCAAAUGUCCAAUGAUAAAUGAGUAGAUAAUGAAGGUGAGAUGAACACCCAACGGAAUACUAUGUAGUCACAAGAAAUGAUAUAAUCCACUGAACUUGGAUGGAACUGGAGGAUCUCAUGCUAAGUGAAGUUAGAGGAAGGGCAAAUACUGGAUGUUUUCACUCAUAUGAAUGUCAGGUUGCAAAGGUGAACAAACCCUCUGACUUAGAAUGGGGAAUGGCAGUAUGAGUAAGAAGAGUGGUCUGCAAAAGGCCUUGGACACAUCUAUCGGUGGGGGAGGAGAGGUAUAUCCAUCUAAACAAGAGCAAACACAACUGUAAGCAUGGGACACAAAUUUUAACAGUUCAAAUGCGCCUGUUGAAAAGAAGAUGGAGGGGAAGGAAAUAACCCGAGGACAGUGGUGUGUAAUGCUGACGCUGGUGGUGAGUUGGAGAUGGCACACUAUGUCUGAAACUCUACUGUGGACAGCUCGGUAAAUCACAGUACCUAAAUAAAAAACAAAUUUUAAAGACGAGUCAUGAUUGAAAAUAAAACAAACCUCCAGAACUGUUCUAUGACAAUUGUAAAUGUUCCCCAAAUCUGCACGGUAGAAACAAUUCAAAAGCUGGAAGCCCCUAAUUCUUCAAUCCUCUUCUACUCCUCUCCUUUAGAAAGUUUCCAAAGCGCUGUACAAUUUUAGACUGCUCAAAUUAUUCAAGCAUGAAACCAUUAACGAGAG